GAUGAACGCUGGCGGCGUGCCUAAUACAUGCAAGUCGAGCGAACAGACGAGGAGCUUGCUCCUCUGACGUUAGCGGCGGACGGGUGAGUAACACGUGGAUAACCUACCUAUAAGACUGGGAUAACUUCGGGAAACCGGAGCUAAUACCGGAUAAUAUAUUGAUCCGCAUGGUUCAAUAGUGAAAGACGGUUUUGCUGUCACUUAUAGAUGGAUCCGCGCCGCAUUAGCUAGUUGGUAAGGUAACGGCUUACCAAGGCGACGAUGCGUAGCCGACCUGAGAGGGUGAUCGGCCACACUGGAACUGAGACACGGUCCAGACUCCUACGGGAGGCAGCAGUAGGGAAUCUUCCGCAAAGGGCGAAAGCCUGACGGAGCAACGCCGCGUGAGUGAUGAAGGUCUUCGGAUCGUAAAACUCUGUUAUUAGGGAAGAACAAAUGUGUAAGUAACUAUGCACGUCUUGACGGUACCUAAUCAGAAAGCCACGGCUAACUACGUG
rnacentral:rRNA from 1 species